UGGGGAAUAUUGCACAAUGGGCGCAAGCCUGAUGCAGCCAUGCCGCGUGUAUGAAGAAGGCCUUCGGGUUGUAAAGUACUUUCAGCGGGGAGGAAGGCGAUAAGGUUAAUAACCUUGUCGAUUGACGUUACCCGCAGAAGAAGCACCGGCUAACUCCGUGCCAGCAGCCGCGGUAAUACGGAGGGUGCAAGCGUUAAUCGGAAUUACUGGGCGUAAAGCGCACGCAGGCGGUCUGUCAAGUCGGAUGUGAAAUCCCCGGGCUCAACCUGGGAACUGCAUUCGAAACUGGCAGGCUAGAGUCUUGUAGAGGGGGGUAGAAUUCCAGGUGUAGCGGUGAAAUGCGUAGAGAUCUGGAGGAAUACCGGUGGCGAAGGCGGCCCCCUGGACAAAGACUGACGCUCAGGUGCGAAAGCGUGGGAGCAAACA
rnacentral:rRNA from 1 species